GGCAUGCUCAGGAACAUCCAGACUCGAGGAAUAUAUUGAUAAUCAGGCUAAUGUAUUCAUAAUUAAGAUUAAAAUAUGGUUGGCUUAAACAGUAGCCAAGUAAAUUGUAUGCUAGCAGAGAUCGAGAUCUAGCUAGCUCUACGCAAAAAAACAAAAAGAUUGACAUCUAGCAACAGCGACAUGGCAUCGUUUAAAAAAAGCAGUAGCAGCAUGCACUCAGGGGUUGUUUGGAUCAUUGCCGCAAGGCGCCCUGCCAAAUUAUUGGUAGUUGACCAGCUCUAGAUGUCCAUUUGGAUGCAAGCCAAACAAUUGGCGCGCCCACACCUCCACAAUAUCUCAAGUUCAAUUCCCAGCCAAUAUUUUGGCAAGGCGUGGGCAGAUGAUUCCUGCGCCAAUAUUUUGGCAAGCCCAAGAUUGGCAAAGUUGGCGCUGGAUCAAACCAAACAGCCCCUCAAUCCCACCGAGAAUUCCUUUUUCACCACUCAGUUCUUAUCUUCUCCACAUAUCCACCCAUCUCUCUGCCUCCAUCUUCCUUUUCCUGCGACAUUUGACCACCACCCAGCGCCACGUCUCCACCGGCAGCCGACGUGCACCACCAGACUUCCUCCCGGACCUCCGCCAUAGUCCCAGUCUGGCCUCGCGCGCACAGGCCGGCCGCCAGCCAGGAGCCCAUACAGAGCCAGCCGCGCUGCAACAACGCCGCCGCCCGUACGCCGCCUCCCACACCAACCACGCCCGAGCAAGGAGCUCCCCUCGACCCCGGCCCCUGCAGCUCCUCCUCGGCUCCCCGUCCGGCAACCGGCGCCGUCACCGGCUAGCCCCUGCAACUCGAGCCGGAGCAUCACACCCGCGCCAUGAAUCUCCAACCCUGAUGCCCAAGCUCCCGCCGCUGUUCUGUGGACCGAGUUAUUCGCUCAAGGGAAACCAUCUGAAAAAGACAACAAGAGAGAGACGCCAAUGAACAAGUUGAUUCUAUCAUGCCAUUGGGAGAGGCGCCCAAGGAAAAGGUCUCCGAGGGAAAGUAUGACACAACUCCCGAGAAACCCGCCCGUGUGUUGCAACGGGCAUAUUCGAGUGAUUCAACAUCAUGGUUUGUAACAUAUAGCCUUGUCGACUUUCUUGUACCGUUAUAGCCUUAAUUUCCUUGUCCUCCUCCUUUCCACUCGCAAUCCCACCUUGAGUCCUCGACCUGCACUUCCAAACACGUGGCCAUUGCAAUUUGGUUAUAUUUCACACCUCCCCCCUCCAGUAAACAUAUCUUCUAUUUGCACCAUUGCUAGUCUUUUGUUCUAAUCUGGAUCUUUCAAAAUAAGUCUUUUGUUCUGGAAUUAACAUUGUAGAGCAGAAUACCAAAUUAAUUUAGGUGAACAGAUGCAACACAUUCAAUAUUAUUCGAAUGUGAUGUGUUAUUUGCUCAUCCACUCCUAUAGGCUUCUUCCAAAAUAUAUGUGCAUUUUUUCAGUUAGGUUUGAAAUGACGACACUUCUAUUCAUGUAUUAUAACAUGUACUUUUUAUUCAGAAAAUGUGCUAUCUUAGUAGUUUGUACUACUUACAUCUAGUAUUGACACUUGAACACCUCAUCCCUACCAAAUAACAUGCAGGAAAAUUAGUGUACCGUAAAUUAAGGGGUUUGUAGAAUUUUUUUGUCAACAAUCAGAUUUCCUGUUUAAAUAGAAAAGCAAUUCUCACGUAAAAUUACAAUUGCUUUACAUAUGUAGCAUUCAUCACUCUUUUUCUCCAGUAGUACCACUAUGUGUAUAGAAAAUAGUAUCUCCAUAUAUAUAAAAGUAUAUAACGUGUUCUAUGAUAUUAAUAUAUACCAUGAAUAUAUAUAGUCCCUCAAAUAUUAUUAAAGUGGGGAAUGGAAUCCUUCAUUUACAACACCCAUUUCUUGUGAAAAACAAAAUCUCUAGCGAAAGUCAAGCAACAAUCAAUGAAGAAUAUAAUACCUAAUUUAGGGUUUAAUCCCCCAACUGAAAGAAUUACCUGGACUAAAUUCAAAUAGAAAAACUGCUAAUGCAAGCUCAAUUUCAGCAAUCAAAUAAAGUUCUGCACAAGUAACCGAACAGAUAAAUAACGUCGUCCAACAAAUAACAUAAACGACCAAGUUGGCUUCUAACAUAUAUAAUUUCUCCCCACCUGCUGCACAAAAGCAAAUUGGCGCCUACUGUUUUUAGUCCAACAACAACUAAUUUGCUCGACCCAACUGUGUUUAGCUUGCAACAGCUGCUAAAUGUAGUUAUGCUGAUCAUAAACUUCAGAAAUUUAUAUGGGAUAUACAUGGCAAUAUGAAGGCUAGAAAUUCAGUAUUGGCAUGUUUUGAAUUAGUUGAAACCUGCCACGCUCUCCAACAUUUUGUUAGUAGUAUGCUUGAAAUCCACGAUCAGAAUAGGAACGUAACACAACUGUUUACAUGUUAUUACUCACUGCGUACACUAAUAUAAGACGUUUUAGAGACUUGUAUGUUCAGUCUAAAACGUCCUAUAUUUGUGUACAGAGGAAGUAGUUAGUAAUAAGGUCGAGUGCUUCUUCCAUGCAUGACAUAAUACUGAGUUGUAAAUAAUGCUUCUUCUCAAGAUGCAGUCUCGUCAUCUACUUGAAGUUCCCAGGGAUGACCAAAUAGGUAGCGUGAGGAUCCCAGUUACCCACCGAGGCGAGCAAUGGCAUGCAUAGGGCUGAGCAGCACCGCUAGGCUCCGAGGGACUCCAAUCAACCAACAUCUUCCUCCUGCACAACCACUGCAAGCCAAAUAUGAUAGUAACACGUUUGGGAAUCAUACUCCCAAAUCCCAAGCCAUCCUAUUUAGUAUUCCAAGCAAUCCAUUGCUGUAGCAAGCAAAUGCAAGGGGCGGACAGGUCAGCUUCAAAAUUUAAUAGAAUUAUUGAUAAGAGCUAAUGAUAGGACGCAUCAGCUAAUGGAUUUAUUGCAUUUAUAUGAAGCUUACUGUCGACAUGGAAAUUUUUCCAGAAAGGUUUGGUUUUCAAAUUUCUAUCUCUCUGGUUUUCUUUUCGCUAGGUACUUUUUGGGGUAUAUAUAACAUUUUGAAGACGAAACUUAAUUUAGUUGAAUUUAUGGUAAGGAGAAGGAUCAUAUGGAAAACCAUUAACUAAAUGUCCUCAAAAAGUAAAUCAGCACAAAAGUUUAGUUCCUUAUUUUAAGACAGACUAGUAAAUAACAGACGCAAACCAGAUAAGUAGUAUUGAAAUGACAUGGCAUUACCGUUCAGCAAACUAAAAUUAUAUAAUUGUGUGAACUUAAUUGAGAUUGUUUUUCUCUUCAUGUUGCUGGUAAAAACAACAUAUAGAUCAAAUAAGUCAGAUAAACCAGCCGAUAUUAUAUGGGUGCACUCUAUAUAAGUGCAACAGUCAAUAAUCGACCAUCGACAUGAGACUCUUAGAGCAUAUACAGCAGAAACAGAACAAAAACUAACCAAGAAUAUACAUAUCCAUGUGCACCACUUUCAGAAUAUAUGACAUAUUGACUCUGAGAUAUCUAUUUUUUGUUUCCGUGCAUUCAAGAAGCGCUCUAUUACUUUCAGGAUCUUAUUCCAAGUUACAAAGAUUAAAAAUUAUGCUGUAGCAUGAUUUUUCUAUGACAUCCAAAAAAAUUAUGUUUAUACAUAUCAAACAGGCAAUGUAAUCUCUGCCCAAGGUAGGAGAUGAACUCAGGCGGGCACACACACAGCACACAAGAACACACAGAGCUUUUGGUGGCAACGCACUUCUGCCUCUUUUCUCUUGUUCUUUUUGCUUAAUCAAACAAACUGAUUACAACUCCUUUUAAAGGAGAGCAAACGCACCGGCCAAGCCACACACCGGCUUGCUCCGAUUUCUACUCACCACUACCCACACGCACACACGUUGAGUCACUGCCACGAAGGAGCUAGUCCACAGCGGCACCGCGAUCCGCUUCUCUAGCUCCACGUCCAUCUGAUCACGACUUGGCUACUGGGACUCCACACUACACAGGUGCAUGCAGCUUCACACUAACAGAACGACCACUAAGCUAGUUCUUGACUAAAUCUAACUAGUACUUGCAUGUACUCACAACUCCUGGUCCACUUGACUGAAGAUCAGGUCUCACCUCUGCUAAUCCAUCAGUCCACUUCACCAUGAUGGCAUGCAUCGCUGUACUAGACUUAGACUCAACAAACUCAAACGGAAAUAAAACAUAAUAAACUCCUAAACAACAAGAUUAACACCAACAGGCAACAGAAGUAAUUCUUGGACAGGUUUGCAUCUGCUAAAGAACACUUUGUUUCUCCUAUUCCAUAAGCUAAUGAUCACACUUAAGCAUAGAUAGGUUUGUAUAUAUGAUAAAACAACAGCAGGCUCGAAGUAAUAAAUCACAGGCAGGGAGGAAGCAAUGUAGAUGACCGGGGCUUAGCUUACUUGUCAGCGUAGUGGAGGAGGUAGAGGUAGGUGAUGGAUCUUCUGCACCUCGGGGUGCCUGCACCUCCAUGUUCAUAAAACCUAUGGCGCACGCAAAUAAGUCUGAAUAUACACGGCGCGAGAGGACAGGAGGAUUCGACUAUGACCAAACGGAUGUUGUCGGAGUCGACAAUCGCUGGCCGUGAUGGCGGGUCGUCCUACAGGUGCUCGUCUGUACCCUCCCUUCUCUAGGCUCUCUCAGGCCAUGGCGGCACAGAUCCGUCGGGGACGAAUGGCCACGUCUCCAAUCACUGAACUCAACGAUGCCCAAUCCCGACCGCCGUUGCGUUCGUGCUCCCGAGCCGUCCUGAGCAGCCCUUGGAUUCUCCUGGAAAUCAAUCAACACCUGCAGACAACAAACACCUCAACGUUAUCGCACCGUUCGCCAAACCAAGCUCUGGCUCAAGAAAGCCGCCCCUUCUCCUUCUCCUUUCUUCCUCUGUUUCCUCUCUCCCUCAGGCCCUUCUCUUUCCUUCUCUGGAUGAGCAGGAUGCCGCUGGCACCGGAAUAAGCCGCCACACCAGCCGCCAGAUCGGUCGACGCCGCGCCCGGAUCUGCCCGUCUUCCUCACGCCGCCACCACGCCUCGCAUCGCCUGCCGGCCGCCUGCCCGUUCCCGCGGGUUAGGCAUCUAUAUUGGGUUGGGGAAGGGGAGGGAGCAGAGGCGAGGUCGAGCGGCGGGGCGGCCUGCGCCGGUGCCAAUCGAGGCGUAGCGGUGGGGGCGAUGCAGCACCUGUUCGGGACCUUUUUUUUCGAUCGCGAAUCGUUAUUUCACUUAGGGACCCGAGUGCGGGUUCAAUACAUAAAACCAUGACCCCAAAUUAGUACCACCUCGUUUAUAUUACGAUUUUGUCCAUACAAAUUGUAAAAGCGUAUUAUGACGUGAGAAGAAAGCGCAUUGUGACGGUAAAACAGACAAAGUUAAUCCGUACUUUAUUAGUACUAGCAAAAGGGUCCGUGCGUUGCAACGGGAGAAACAAAUCUUGCACGCAUUAGUUUGUGUUUGAACUUGAAUGUCACAUGUUUUGAUUGAAAAUUAUGUGCAGAUUAGAAAGACCAAUCCGCUAUACUACCAACUUCCACUUUGCACAUUUUUUCAACCUGUAUAAUGCAAUGUAAUCAUGUGUCCUGAAGGAGUAGCUUCAAAAUCAGAAAUAUCUUUUCUUAGAAUCAAAAUCUGAAAUAGCUAGCACGGACCCAAAAUCAUAUAAUCGCUAGCCUGCUCUACUCUGCUCGUUGUGACUUCAUUUGUACACUUCUUGUGCCUUUUGUUCUUGCACAUGUCCCGUCGCAAGCACUCACUCAUCACAGUACGAUGUAGCUUUCCAUCUUUAACCGGAGCACCAAAGUGUAAGCGAGCAAGCUUUGGUUUGUAACCCAUAGAAGACAAAAAUUCAAACCUAAAAAAGAGAAAUUUAUUCUGUACGGGCAUCAUCCUUUUGCACAUACUGUCAGAAUGUCGUUUAAAGAAAUAGCUAGCGCAGACCUGAAAGAGAUAAAUACAUUUUUCUGAGUAGUACAAUACAUAGUCCUGGAUACCACAUCUUUCUCAAUUAGCAUGAUUGCCUGGCAAGAUCACAAAGUUGUGUUGCUGAAAUUUCAGGACAACAUUGAAAAGAGAGGGGAUUCGAGAAGAGGACUGCCAAAUAAAGAGCUGAAGAAGCCUAUCUCAUCACCAUAUGCCACCUGUUGUUUAUCUUGGUGGAUGAAACAAACUAAUAUCCUGAACAAAUUUACCUUCGGCCAUGGUGAAGAUUAUAUUUGAUAACCUAGUACCAUGAGACAAUAUCAUUUUGAAAUAGAUCAGUAAUUGGUAUGAACUAUAAAACAAACGUUGAGUUCCUCUGAUCACCUGGAAUAGGCCAUGUUGAUCAUAAUGAUGGGGGCAUCAGUCAAGAUGCAGGCGGUGUUGCUGCAAGUACAAUCUUUUCCAUCUCAGGAUUCAAUAAGCUCACCUGGAGUAAGUAAGAAUUCAAGUUGAAUAAGAGUUGAGAUGAAAUUACUGACCUAAACAACAACUGGUAUGAGCAAAACGUAGCUGUAUUUGUAUUUAUCGUGCACAACUAAUUGAGAAAAAAGAGGAGUAACAACCGUGUAGGCAUGUUAGUAAAAUUGACAGUAAUAUAUGCUUAGAAGCAUUCAUACACAAGUUGAGUAAAUGAAUGGACCAAUCUAUUGGAGUAACUUGAAUUGCUAAUGAGAUGGUAAAGUAUGCCAGAUCAUUCUGGUGGCAUGUUGACCCCAUUACAGUGCUUGUGUAGUCAUACAAAACAGUGUGAUGCAAUAUAUGUAUUUAAAGGGUGUCACAUAAGAACAUGCAGGAUCAGAUGACUUAACAUUAACCUUUGAAUUUAUAUCUAAAACAUCAACCAAAGUUAUCCUAGAGAUUCUUAAUUUCCCUUGUAAUUUGCUUAAUAAACGUGUUUCGAGUAAUAUUAUGAACGCUAUCGAACUUAUUAUUGUGAAAACAACAACAUUCCAGAAGACAAUGCCUAUUGUUUCUCAAAGGCAUAUCAUCAAACUAACUAUUAGAUAAACACCAAACCAUGUUAGAUCUGUUCAAUGAAACGAGCUAGUGUUCUGUAAAAAAUCUGAUUAUAGCAGAGGAAGUGGGCACUAAUAUUUAUCAUCUACUACAGACUGAAUCAAAAUUCCAGCGCCAUAAACUGCUCCUUUGGGUGCUGCCAUACAACCCUAGCAUUCUCUUAAAACAAGUAUUUAGCCUCAUUAGAAACAUCAUGUAUUUUAUUUGCGAUCAAGCGAAUUGAUUAUUCAACAGGCUGCAAGAAGUAGAGGCCGGGCAGUCAGCCGGUGACCAUGGUGUUGCAAUAGCGAUGGCGUCCCAUGGAGGAAGCUCGAGGCAGCACUGUGGACGAGCUUGGGGCAGCGAUGAGAUGAUCUGCUAUGCGAGCGACCUCCAAUCGGUCCACGAGCUGAGCAUUCUCGUACAGUAAGAGUUUCACCAGAAAAUUAAAAUGUAUUUCGAUCCCUCAUACGCAUAACAUCAAACAGGUUGUGGGCAAAAGCUCAUGGAAAGGGCUCACCUAAUUUGGAACAACUUGUAUGAAUAGUUAGUGAAAAUAAAGAAUUAAGAGAGUACUUUGGCCGUUGCAAAUC